GGGGUUGUGGCUCAGUGGCAGAGCGCUCACCUAGCAAGUGCGAGGCCCUGGGUUCAAUCCUUGGCACCA
rnacentral:tRNA from 1 species